rnacentral:rRNA from 1 species
UGGGGAAUAUUGCACAAUGGGCGCAAGCCUGAUGCAGCCAUGCCGCGUGUAUGAAGAAGGCCUUCGGGUUGUAAAGUACUUUCAGUCGGGAGGAAGGUGUCAAGGUUAAUAACCUUGGCAAUUGACGUUACCGACAGAAGAAGCACCGGCUAACCCCGUGCCAGCAGCCGCGGUAAUACGGAGGGUGCAAGCGUUAAUCGGAAUUACUGGGCGUAAAGCGCACGCAGGCGGUUGAUUGAGUCAGAUGUGAAAUCCCCGGGCUUAACCCGGGAAUUGCAUCUGAUACUGGGCAGCUAGAGUCUUGUAGAGGGGGGUAGAAUUCCAUGUGUAGCGGUGAAAUGCGUAGAGAUGUGGAGGAAUACCGGUGGCGAAGGCGGCCCCCUGGACAAAGACUGACGCUCAGGUGCGAAAGCGUGGGGAGCAAACAGG